rnacentral:rRNA from 1 species
UACGUAGGGUGCAAGCGUUGUCCGGAAUUAUUGGGCGUAAAGGGCGCGUAGGCGAUCCUGUAAGUCUCGUGUGAAAUCCCAGGGCUUAACCCUGGAAUGGCAAGAGAAACUGCUGGAAUUGAGUUCCGGAGAGGAAGGCAGAAUUCCCGGUGUAGCGGUGAAAUGCGUAGAUAUCGGGAGGAAUACCAGUGGCGAAGGCGGCCUUCUGGACGGAUACUGACGCUGAGGCGCGAAAGCCAGGGGAGCAAACGGG